UGCAAUUCUAUGCACUACGAUUUUAAUCGACCUUUGGCUGUAAGAUGUGUAUGUAAACAUACUGACUGUACAGUGAAUGCAACUGUGUUGUGAGCGUUUCACCUUGUAGCCUGGGAGGUAGUUUGCUCCAACGCAACUGUGUUGUGAGUGUUUCACCUGGUAGCUUGGAAGGACUGGCGCUGGAAGCUGUAGGUGGAGGGAAGACCAGGAGUGGUGCAGCUCUGUAGAUGCUGAAGGUGUGCCAAUGGGUCACGUGUGUUCCUGAAGGGUCUGAGGCGACCCAGUUGGAGGUCCCUGCGGUGGCGGUCAGCCGGAGGUGUCAAGACCAACCAGCUCCUCGUCCAGGAAAGGUGAAUUCAUCAGACCGAUUAAAGGUUCAAUAAAGUCACAAUGGAAGAGCAGAUGGCUGUGCAGUUGCCAUGGCGGAGAGACCCAGAGUACGAUGACCGAACAGUUGAUCUACAACAGUGGCCUACUCCCCAUCCACCCUGAGGAUCCCUGGCUACACCUACAAUCCAAUCUACCCCAGACAUAACCACUUGGAGCUCAACAACUUCUACAACUCCCCCUACCUCCUACACACCAUACUGUUACCACUUUACCAUUUUAACUUUAAAACAAAGUACUGUAAUUCACACCAUGUUGUAGGAAAAGCAUGUUUACUUGAAUGAUUUAUGCAUUUUAUUUCUGUGACCCCAACUAUUGUAUUUCUGACCCAGUUACCUCUGAACCCUCUUUCUAAGGGAGCGACUAAAGGGACAAAGCUGGAGCUAACCUGAGCUUAACAAUCUUUCUAAUCUUUCUUUCAAAUGCCCUAAAUUGAAUCACAUAAAAUGCCUAAAGUAACUUGUCUAACAAAACAAAAAGCCAACCUAAUACCCAAACUUAACCAUCUAACUAUAGAUCUCAAAUGCCUAAACUCUCUUACUCUAAACGAGUACCUAAACUGAACCAUUUAACUAAACAUCUCAAAGGCCUAAACUCGCUUACCUCAACCUAACCUAAUACCCAAACUUAACCAUCUAUAACUGAAGAGCUCAAACGCCUAAACUCUUACCAUAACCUAGUACCUAAACUGAACCAUCUAACUAAACAUCUUAAAGGCCUAAACUCGCUUACCUCAACCUAACCUAAUACCCAAACUUGACCCUCUAACUAAACAUCUCUAAUGCCUAAACUCUUUCCUAAUACCUAAACAAUCUUUAAUACAAUCACUAAUGCCUAAACUUAACCAAACACCAAUAAUAAAAGUUAACCAUCCUUAAUCUUAAACCCAAACCAGACUUGUCCCUGGGUCGCUCCACUUUGUUUCUUUAAAGGCAUCUCUUUUCCCCCGCAUCUGUGUUUUAUUCCUUGAGGACUUCAAGUACUUCAGAUGAUGUUUGAAAACUUGUUUCAUUAAUAAAGAUACUUCAUCUUUACAGAUUUUGUUUUGGGGAAUUGGGACUGCUGAGCAGCUUAAGCAUCCUUACUGGUGAAACUGAUCUGACAAUAUCAAUUUUAGUACUAUGAAGCCAAUAACAUGAGGCUGAAUAUGUGAAAAGACGAGGUGGACAAUGAUCGAGGAGUCAACAAGGAGUUGAUUGGUAAACAUCUAACGUGGAACCAAUGCUUAUUUGUUUGAUCUGUUACCAGGCUAUCGCAGUAGGGGAAUCUGGAGGAGUACCCAACAGUGUUGCAUGGGUUCUUGAUAGAUUGCAUUACGGCUGAGGCCAUUCAUUAAGAUUGUUGAUUUGAUGAAUAUGAAUAAAGAG
ensembl:lncRNA